rnacentral:rRNA from 1 species
UACAGAGGUCUCAAGCGUUGUUCGGAUUCAUUGGGCGUAAAGGGUGCGUAGGUGGCGCCGUAAGUGGGGUGUGAAAUUUCGGAGCUUAACUCCGAAACUGCAUUCCAUACUGCGGUGCUUGAGGACUGGAGAGGAGACUGGAAUUUACGGUGUAGCGGUGAAAUGCGUAGAUAUCGUAAGGAAGACCAGUGGCGAAGGCGGGUCUCUGGACAGUUCCUGACGCUGAGGCACGAAGGUCAGGGGAGCAAACGGG